CGUCUGCUCUUAAAGGGAUGGUCGUAAAGCCGCUGGAAUGAGGUCCAAUAAGGGGGGAGGGAUGGGAAAGAGGCGAAAGAUGGCUGAGCGGCUCCCAGGGAGCUCUACCUGGUUGGCUGAACGUCUGGAGGCGCGGGCAGGAGACGGAGCGCCCCCCAUGUUCUCUAACGGAAGCUGAACGGCUGUGUGCGCCGCUGCUCCGAGCAGAGCCCUCCCCGGACUGUGGAGCGGGCAGGACCGGGAGCCGCCGCCGCCGGAACUGCAGCUGGCACUCCGCGGCCCGGGCAUAAACGUUCCCUAUAAUCUGUUAUCUAACUUACAACACUGAAUGGAUCCUGAAGUGUGGAAAAUGGCGGCAACCAGCUUCAAAAUGAUGAAUCCUCAAAAAGGCAUAUUUGCACCAAAAAUGCUCCAAGUAAAGCGUGACCAGUUCAUAUCUACCGAAAGACUUAAGAAGCCAACCAAUCUUGUGUUCAAUGAAGACUAUAUUACAGUAGAAGAUAAAGCUAUACAUGCCAAUGGUAAAACCAGUUGUGCAAAAGUGUUCAAAUCCGUUGAGCAUGGUGAAAUAAAAACUUGUGUUCGGCAAAGGGAAAUGGUCUAUAAACCAUCUGUAGUUAGGACUGACUUAAUGUCUAAGAGCUUAGCACUUAAAACUUCUGGAGUGGAGUCUCAGAAUGUGAGGAAGUUGCCCUAUGAGGUACAUCAUAAAAGACUCCCUAUUCUGGUGCGUGACCGUGGUCACACUUUUAUUCCACAAAGACAAGAAAAGAGCUCAACACUUUUGAGACAAGAUGGAAGGAUCAAAUGCAGUGAAGUAAAAAAUCUAGUUUCAAACCAUUGCGCCAAGACUAAAAGUAUCAAGACAAAUGUUCUCAAAGAAGAACCAAUGUUUCAAAGUAUUGGAGAUGCUCAAUGUCGUGAUGCCGAUCUUCAAAAUGGAGUUCCUUUUAAUGAUUCCAAGAAGACGUUCCUAGUAAAAAACAUUCCAUACCGUAGUGACACCAGUGACCCGUGUAAAAGGAUAAAGAUAAGUAAUGUAACCUCGGUGUGUAAUGUAGGGAGAAUAUGCCAGAAGGUGGUGGAUGAACUGCCACGUAGGCAAAUGCCUACCAUAAGUGGUGCACAGACCUAUAGUGAUGUUUCGUGUAAGACUGCAACAAAUGGUAUUCUGAAGGAUAAAUGUAAAAGUCCACCACCUGAUGAAAUAAAAGGAGGGAUCACAAACAAAGAAAAGAACAAAUUCGAAGGAAGCUCUACGCGCAAACGAUUUCUACUUAUUGACAGUCAAGGAGUGCCGUACACGGUCGUUGUAGAAGAACCUACAGAUAGUACACCCACUGAGGUCUCCAAGUCUUUAGCCCCACGGAAGGUCUAUAAAUGUCCAGUGUGCUUUAGAAUAUUUGAGUAUCUUUCCUAUCUGCAGCGGCACAGCAUUGCUCAUUCCCAACAGAAGCCUCACGUCUGCAAGGUCUGUGGUAAAGCCUUUAAAAGAACUUCACAUCUCACCCGACACAAGUACACUCAUUUUGGCGGAAAACCUUGUCACUGCCAAAUAUGUCAACGCAGAUUUCGAGACAUCGGUGAGCUCACUCGUCACCUGCAGAGUCAUACAGGAGAAAAAAAAUCACUAAUCUGAAGUUCGCAAAGCACUUUCCAGAACCAAGCAUUUUUCAGCGUCGUAUCCUUACAAAACACGUUAAAGGAUCAUGGAGAUGCGGGAAACGGACAUUCGCGUGUUUCACAAAAGUUGGACCGCAAUAAUUUUGUCAAAUAAGGUGUAUACAAAGGGAAAGUAUAGUAACGAAGAUCACUGAUCGUGUACAGAGAUCAUGUUUUUCCAAAGAUCGUAUUAAUGUUUGAGCGUUGUCAACUGGUCAUGAAGGGUAUGUUCAGAUGGAGUUUUUUGGGCGUGGAUUUCACAAAAUCGCCUCCCAUUGUUUUCAUGCGGACGAGGAUUUUUCACAUGUGGUUUUCCAGACCAUGCCAACAAUGUACAGGUCCAUUAUCGGCACGGUUACCUGGCAAAGCUACAGUUGGAGCCUGCUUGUGGUUUGGCUCCAUUCAGUUGAGCUAAAGUGAGAGCGGAUCCACGUCAUUCAAAAAGAAAACCCAUGGCAACCCAUGUACAAAAUCCCUCGCGUGAACCUACCCUAAAGGGAACCUGUCAUUGGCAUUGACCCAUCUAAAGUUCCACCACUACCCUAUUUAGAGAGCCAUGUAUACACGUGUGAAACAGUUGAAUUUGGUUUCGAGUUUCGCAAAAAUUCGGAUUCGAGACGAAUGCAAAUCUUUUGCGAUUCGAUCCAGACAAAUCUCUCGAAAUGGUAUCUACCAUUUCACAGGUCGUCGUCAGAAGAAGGCAUCAUUUGUAGACCAUGUUUUAAUUCAAAAAUAAAAUCCGACAGUGUAGUGAGUUUAUAAUAGUAGUAAAGGACCGGCACUCACUUUUGUAGUCUUGCAAAUAUUUUCUUUAUUGCCACAUGUUUAUAUUUGUGACGCGUUUCGGCACAGACUGUGCCUUUUGACCAAUGUUUGAAGAAGGCACAGCCUUAUCUGUAUAAUCAAAUAGUGGCCACAGCACUAGUCCUAAUGGCUUUUUUUGGGGGGUAAUGUCACCAAGUUGAUCCCUCUCCACCCAAGGAUCCGUAUUCUGGUAUAUAAUAUAGUUGAAGACAGCACACCAAUGCUUCUUUUAUUUAGUUCAUUUCAACAUCAGUAUCGUGCAGUGCAAGCGAUCAAAGGAGCCAUAACUGAUUUGAUGAGCCAUUCGCAGUUUUACUGUACCGGCCGUGCGUACUGACACGUGCGUGGCUUAAUUUUUGAGACCAGCAUAUGCUACUGGCAGAAUCAACCAGGACUUUUGAGGCUGAGCUUAAUCAGAACUGUCAACUGAUUUGUUAGAAUCGGACCUAAAACCAAUUUCUAGAAAUUUGCUUAUCUCUAGUCCCUAUGUGUACAAUAAGUACCUGCAUUGUGUACAAGGUGAACUUUGAUUGCCGCAGUUGAUGUAUGCA